rnacentral:misc_RNA from 1 species
UUCUGUUUGGCUGCUACACAUUGACUGAAAUUCUUCGAAUUCUGAGUAGCAGUUGGCUAAGUGUCUGGACCAAAGCAAGUGCCUCACAGAGCAAUGGAGCUGGAUUUUAUAUCUUGGUGUAUGCUAUUUUGUCAUUCAGUCAGGUGAUUGUAACACUGGCAAAUUCCUUCUGGUUGAUUAUCUCUAGUCUAAAUGCAGCUAAAGGGA